AACAUCGCGCACCUGCGGGAACCUGCGGAAGGAUCAUUACAGAGUUCGUGCCCUCGCGGGUAGAUCUCCCACCCUUGUGUAUUCCUUACAUUUUGUUGCUUUGGCAGGCCGUUGGUUCGCCAACCACCGGCUCUACGGGCUGGUGCGUGCCUGCCAGAGGACCCCCCAAACUCGGUUUGAUAGUGUCGUCUGAGUAACCAUAACAAUCGUUAAAACUUUCAACAACGGAUCUCAGAUCGG
rnacentral:misc_RNA from 1 species